UUUCCGUAGGUGAACCUGCGGAAGGAUCAUUACCGAAUCGUCGACACGAGUUGUUGCUGGCCCUCAAACGGGGGCAUGUGCACGCUCUGUUUGCAUCCACCCACACCUGUGCACCCUUUGUAGUUCUGCGGUCCGGGGGACCCCCUCUUCCGUCCGCGGUUCUGCGUCUUUACACACACGCUGUAACAUGGUCUUAUGGAAUGUACGCAGCGUUUAACGCAAUACAAUACAACUUUCAGCAACGGAUCUCUUGGCUCUC
rnacentral:misc_RNA from 1 species